rnacentral:rRNA from 1 species
UGGGGAAUUUUGGACAAUGGGCGCAAGCCUGAUCCAGCCAUGCCGCGUGCGGGAAGAAGGCCUUCGGGUUGUAAACCGCUUUUGUCAGGGAAGAAAUCUUCUGAGUUAAUACCUCGGGAGGAUGACGGUACCUGAAGAAUAAGCACCGGCUAACUACGUGCCAGCAGCCGCGGUAAUACGUAGGGUGCAAGCGUUAAUCGGAAUUACUGGGCGUAAAGCGUGCGCAGGCGGUUUUGUAAGACAGAGGUGAAAUCCCCGGGCUCAACCUGGGAACUGCCUUUGUGACUGCAAGGCUUGAGUGCGGCAGAGGGGGGCAUGGAAUUCCGCGUGUAGCAGUGAAAUGCGUAGAUAUGCGGAGGAACACCGAUGGCGAAGGCAAUCCCCUGGGCCUGCACUGACGCUCAUGCACGAAAGCGUGGGGAGCAAACAGGAUUAGAUACCCUGGUAGUCCACGCCCUAAGCGAUGUCAACUGGUUGUUGGGAAGGUUCCUUCUCAGUAACGUAGCUAACGCGUGAAGUUGACCGCCUGGGGAGUACGGCCGCAAGGUUGAAACUCAAAUGAAUUGACGGGGUCAU